UCUUUCUUCCAUCGUAGUUAAUCCUGCACACUCAAAACAAAAACUUCGAUCGAGACAAUUAAUCCUAAGCAAUUAACCAAGUUGUCCGACAUGUCAUUGGUCCCUCGACGCUUCGUCCGAUUCUUCGGCGCAUCGUCCUUUCCUGCAGCCUAUUGCCCAAUCGGCCAGUUGACUCCGCAACUCCGAUAUCCUUGGCACAAUACCCGCUCUUCUUGGCCCGAAGCCUUCUGUCGAUACGUCGACCGAUCCACC
rnacentral:lncRNA from 1 species